CCCAAGGGGCUGGCGCUAGGACACGUGGACCCCAGGGUGCUGCAGAGUGCGGGGACCAGGUCCUGUCCACGGAGCCGGGUCUCCUGAGCAGAGCGCAGCCCACCUGGAUGUCCACGCUGUCGCCGGGCCCCCGGUCCUCGUCGCUGGAGCCGCCGUCCAGGUCCUCCUGCAGCCUCAGCACCUUGCGCCGGCGCCCCCCGCCCUCCUCGUGCUGCCGCUUCAGGUGGUACAGAGCCCUGCGCUCACGGCGCUCCUGCAGCCGACGGUAGCUGUCGCCUGGUGUCGCGGCCUGCGCCCGGGCCAGCAGCCCGUGGUCCUCCAACAGCUCCUGGGGGGGGGGGGGGGGCAGGUGAGGGACACAGGGCCUGCCACCUGCCAGCCCCUCUGUUUUAGAGGACACGGGACGUCAUGUCUGUGUGACACAGAGAAAGGGGCCCCUGCCUUUCACUACCCUCUCAGGGUCUGCAGGCCAACACAAAGUGAGAUACCGAGAAUGGCCUGAACAUCCGCGGUCCCCGAUCGGGGGGAGGCUCCUAAAAUUGCAUGGUAGGCCGCGGUCGGGUGACCACCCCCUCCGGGCCUCAGUGUGGCCAUCUGCAAUCACGGGCAGUGAUGACACCAGGGACUCGCCCUGUCCUAAAGGCUCUUCGUGUAUUAACUCAUUUAAUCCUCAGAGGACGGCACGGAGGCUGAGGCCCAGGGCCGUGCAGGAACUUGCCCAGGAUCGCACUGCUAGUGAAUGACGGAGCUGGGACUUGCCACUGGGACGUCCGCUCCGGAUCUGAUGUGCCAGCCAUCGCCCCCUGCUGCCUCCCAGAGCUCAGCACCCCUGCUCCAGGCGGCCAGGUUCUUCGUGAGGAUGUAGCAUGUGACCGCUGACCCUGUCCACUUCUCCAGGAAGCCCUCCUGGAUUUCCACCCCCUUUGACUCACCCAGGCCACCCCACGUCUGAGUGUCUGAGGGUUGCAGGAGCCUCCCAGCUUUGGUCCCGAGCCUCACCUUGAACUGGCGCCGCAGGUUGGCCAUCUCGUACAGCCGGUGCUCCUCUAUGCCCCGCUGGCGGCACCACUUGCGUCUCAGCGCCACUGCCCCCUCCUACAGGAAGCCCUUGCAGACCACACGGGGUCAGACAUCCCCUCUGGGCUCUCCCAGCCCCCUGGACUGCCUACCACAGCCCAUUCUUGGUGGUCACAGUCCGGGGACAAGUCUGCCUCUCUGCACGGGACUGUGCAACCCAGGAGGGCAGGGCCACGUGCUUUUAGUCACCACCAGUCCCCAGCACUGCCCGGCACAGGGCCAGGCCCAGAGCAUGUGCUGGAUAUACACGUGCCACCCUAGGAGUGUGUGGCCCUCCCCUGGGUGGCAGGGCUUUUAUUCAGCGCUUUAAAAACUCCAGCCUCGGGGGCGCCUGGGUGGCUCAGAUGGUUAAGCGU